UGCAAGUCGAGCGAACAGAAGGGAGCUUGCUCCCGGAUGUUAGCGGCGGACGGGUGAGUAACACGUGGGUAACCUGCCUGUAAGACUGGGAUAACUCCGGGAAACCGGAGCUAAUACCGGAUAGUUCCUUGAACCGCAUGGUUCAAGGAUGAAAGACGGUUUCGGCUGUCACUUACAGAUGGACCCGCGGCGCAUUAGCUAGUUGGUGGGGUAAUGGCUCACCAAGGCGACGAUGCGUACCCGACCUGAGAGGGUGAUCGGCCACACUGGGACUGAGACACGGCCCAGACUCCUACGGGAGGCAGCAGUAGGGAAUCUUCCGCAAUGGACGAAAGUCUGACGGAGCAACGCCGCGUGAGUGAUGAAGGUUUUCGGAUCGUAAAGCUCUGUUGUUAGGGAAAAACAAGUGCGAGAGUAACUGCUCGCACCUUGACGGUACCUAACCAGAAAGCCACGGCUAACUACGUGCCAGCAGCCGCGGUAAUACGUAGGUGGCAAGCGUUGUCCGGAAUUAUUGGGCGUAAAGGGCUCGCAGGCGGUUUCUUAAGUCUGAUGUGAAAGCCCCCGGCUCAACCGGGGAGGGUCAUUGGAAACUGGGAAACUUGAGUGCAGAAGAGGAGAGUGGAAUUCCACGUGUAGCGGUGAAAUGCGUAGAGAUGUGGAGGAACACCAGUGGCGAAGGCGACUCUCUGGUCUGUAACUGACGCUGAGGAGCGAAAGC
rnacentral:rRNA from 1 species